rnacentral:rRNA from 1 species
AGCGAACGCUGGCGGUAGGCCUAACACAUGCAAGUCGAACGGCAGCACAGUAAGAGCUUGCUCUUACGGGUGGCGAGUGGCGGACGGGUGAGGAAUACAUCGGAAUCUACUUUUUCGUGGGGGAUAACGUAGGGAAACUUACGCUAAUACCGCAUACGACCUACGGGUGAAAGCAGGGGAUCUUCGGACCUUGCGCGAUUGAAUGAGCCGAUGUCGGAUUAGUUAGUUGGCGGGGUAAAGGCCCACCAAGGCGACGAUCCGUAGCUGGUCUGAGAGGAUGGUCGGCCACACGGGAGCGGGAACACGGUCCAGACUCCUGCGGGAGGCAGCAGAGGGGAAUGUUAGACAAUGGGCGCAAGCCUGAUCCAGCCAGACCGCGUGGGUGAAGAAGGCCUUCGGGUUGUAAAGCCCUUUUGUUGGGAAAGAAAAGCAGCAGGUUGAUACCCCGCUGUUCCGACGGUACCCAAAGAAUAAGCACCGGCUAACUUCGUG